rnacentral:tRNA from 1 species
UACAUUUAGGUGUAUGAUGCACAAGAAUUUUUGAUAUUUUAGGAAACAGUUUAAUUCUGUUAGGUGUAG